rnacentral:piRNA from 1 species
UAUCUUCACAAAUAAGAAAUACUUGAAGCCA